GACCUGGCGGCAGGCCUAACCAUGCAAGUCGAGCGGAAACGAGUUAUCUGAACCUUCGGGGAACGAUAACGGCGUCGAGCGGCGGACGGGUGAGUAAUGCCUAGGAAAUUGCCCUGAUGUGGGGGAUAACCAUUGGAAACGAUGGCUAAUACCGCAUGAUGCCUACGGGCCAAAGAGGGGGACCUUCGGGCCUCUCGCGUCAGGAUAUGCCUAGGUGGGAUUAGCUAGUUGGUGAGGUAAGGGCUCACCAAGGCGACGAUCCCUAGCUGGUCUGAGAGGAUGAUCAGCCACACUGGAACUGAGACACGGUCCAGACUCCUACGGGAGGCAGCAGUGGGGAAUAUUGCACAAUGGGCGCAAGCCUGAUGCAGCCAUGCCGCGUGUGUGAAGAAGGCCUUCGGGUUGUAAAGCACUUUCAGUCGUGAGGAAGGUAGUGUCGUUAAUAGCGGCAUUGCUUGACGUUAGCGACAGAAGAAGCACCGGCUAACUCCGUGCCAGCAGCCGCGGUAAUACGGAGGGUGCGAGCGUUAAUCGGAAUUACUGGGCGUAAAGCGCAUGCAGGUGGUUUGUUAAGUCAGAUGUGAAAGCCCGGGGCUCAACCUCGGAAUAGCAUUUGAAACUGGCAGACUAGAGUACUGUAGAGGGGGGUAGAAUUUCAGGUGUAGCGGUGAAAUGCGUAGAGAUCUGAAGGAAUACCGGUGGCGAA
rnacentral:rRNA from 1 species